rnacentral:rRNA from 1 species
UACAGAGGUCUCAAGCGUUGUUCGGAAUCACUGGGCGUAAAGGGUGCGUAGGCGGCGGAGUAAGUCGGGUGUGAAAUUUGAAGGCUCAACCUUCAACUAGCACCUGAUACUGCUUUGCUUGAGGUCUGAAGAGGAGCUUGGAAUUCUCGGUGUAGCAGUGAAAUGCGUAGAUUUCGAGAAGAAACGCUCGCAAGCGAAAA